rnacentral:rRNA from 1 species
GAUGAACGCUGGCGGCGUGCUUAACACAUGCAAGUCGAACGGUGAAGGCGGAGCUUGCUCUGCUGGAUCAGUGGCGAACGGGUGAGUAACACGUGAGCAAUCUGCCCCUGACUCUGGGAUAAGCGCUGGAAACGGCGUCUAAUACUGGAUACGAGCUGCGAAGGCAUCUUCAGCAGCUGGAAAGAAUUUCGGUCAGGGAUGAGCUCGCGGCCUAUCAGCUUGUUGGUGAGGUAAUGGCUCACCAAGGCGUCGACGGGUAGCCGGCCUGAGAGGGUGACCGGCCACACUGGGACUGGGACACGGCCCAGACUCCUACGGGAGGCAGCAGUGGGGAAUAUUGCACAAUGGGCGAAACCCUGAUGCAGCAACGCCGCGUGAGGGACGACGGCCCUCGGGUUGUAAACCUCUUUUAGCAGGGAAGAAGCGAAAGUGACGGUACCUGCAGAAAAAGCGCCGGCUAACUACGUG